CUAAGCUCAAUAUGUGUCAAUAUUCCCAUUGUUCUCUCAGAAAGAAAAAUGAUGACGUGUAUUCCUCCAAAUGUCUCAAACUCUUCCUUCACAUACUUUAACUGCUCAUCUGUUCCCAAGAAGCAGUCGGUGGGAGGAGAGAAAGUGCUGAUACAUUUAUCAGCCGGGAAAUGUUGCCCAGGACAGAUAGUAAAAGAGAAAAAAAUAUAUUAGGCAUCAAUUGAAGAGAGGCGAAGUCAAUCGUCAGUAGAACAAAAGAGACUCGGGGGCAGAGACGAGCGACAGAGACAGACGAUGUUGAAAAGUUCACCUGCCUCCUCACAUGGAACAGAUCAUCGUACAACUGGAGAGAAUGUACAGCGCUGACAUCCGCCGCUUUGAACUCGUCACCGCCGACAUGGAGGAAUCAAGCUCGGCACGGUGGGGGAGUGACGACGAGUGACGAUGAUACAUGUGGAUGCUCGGGCGGAGGAGAAAAACAUGGACCGUGAGCGGUGUCGUCCGGUAAGGAGCCACUCGUUUAACAAG